AAGCAAUAUCAGCCCACUCUCCCUGCAACAUGUUAGAUUAUGCCGAAACAUCUCGUGAAGUGGCUUGGCAGUUAAACAUAUUAGGGCAUAAAACUCAUU
rnacentral:lncRNA from 1 species